CAUAUGGAUGUUCCCAGGCUAGGGGUCAAAUCAGAGCUGCAGCUGCUGGCUUAUGCCACAGCUGCAGCAACCCCAGAUCUGAGCUGCAUCUGUGACUUACAUCAUAGCUCAGGGCAACACAGGAUCUUUAACCCACUGAGAGACACCAGGGGAUGAACCCCCAUCCUCAAGGAUACUAGUCGGGUUCAUCAUGGCUGAGCCACAGUGUGAACUUCCCUCAUGGUCACUUUUUAAUACUUCCUGAUGGCUGUACAUUUUUCCUCAUUUCAACAAGCCUUGGGGUCACCUAGUGACAGGAAGGCCUGUGACAGGGAGAUGAUGGGAGGUGAGGCCCUUCAAAUAUUCCCCACCCAAAUGGAAAAAUGACGUCCCCAACUCUGGCUUUAAUCACAAAACCCGUCACCUUGGGGGAACACCUCUCGAAUGUCCAGGUGCCUGCCCAGUUUGUGUGGGAUCCAUGGGAUGGGGGAAGGAGAGUUAUUUGAUGAAAGAGAGGUUUACGCUUUUCUUGUUCAGGAAAGGAUACCCUAAACAUUUUUUGACAGCCAGCUCAUGCCACACAACAGGGCAAAUGAUAUUUUGACUCAGCAACUCAGAACGAUGGGUACCUGUCCACCAAUUUCACAUUGCCUUUGAGCCCAGAUGGAGUGGCUAGUAGCAGACAGCUAUCCUGAGUACCUGGACCACUCCUUGGUACUGAUGUACAGCCAUCAUGAGCCCUCCUUCAUCACGCCUGUCUGUGUUCAUCUCUUUACACCUCAUUUUCCCAACUUGGUCAUAAAUGCCUUCUGACCAAGAGCCAUGUCUGCUGGUUCCUUUUCUACCCCUGACAUCAACCCAACACCAGGUCCAUAAUCAGAGUUGGGAAAGAGGCUGAUGGACAGAUACGUCUCCAUGCCAAGGAAAACACUUUUUUUUCCCCACUGUAAGUUGAAGGGGCCCAUUUGUCUGUUAGGGCAUGUUGCUUGCUUGGUUUUUAUUACCCGCAUGCCUGUACAGGCCACCAGCACGUUAUAUAAUGUGCUGAAACCAACUCAGUUAAUAUUGCCAAAUGGCUUGGCUUUUAAAACCAGGCUUCUCCUACAAAGACAAAGCAGCCCUGUCCUGACUCUCUGAAGCCUUUGGUUUUGCAUAGAAAAAUACUUACACCUCAUGACCAUUAUUGAGAAUCUAAUUUUAGCGGCUGGUCCUUACAGCAAUUUUAAAAUGGGAGGGGGGAUGGAUUGUGACCUUAGGAUUAGCAAACUAGUAUAUAUAGACUGGAUAAAUAGCAAGGUCCUAUUGUUCAGCACAGGGAACUAUAUUAUAUUCUAUGAUAAAACAUAAUGGAAAAAAUAUGAAAAAACAUACAUGCAUAACUGAAUCACUUUGCUCACAGUAGAAAUUAAUACAACAUUGCAAAUCAACUAUACUUCAAUAUAAUAAUUUUUUAAAAGAAUUGGAGGAGUUCCCAUCAUGGUGCAGUGGAAAUGAAUCCAACUAGUAACCAUGAGGUUGCAGGUUUGAUCCCUGGCUCGCUGAGUGGGUUAAGGAUCUGGCGUUGCCGUGAGCUGUGCUGUAAGUCACAGACUUAGCCUGGAGCCUGCACUGCUGCAUUCCCCUAGCCUGGGAACCUCCAUAUGCCGCGGAUGCGGCCCUAAAAAGCAAAAAAAAGAAAAAAAGAAUUGGAAAAAAUUAAAGAAGAGGGAGGACAACUAUGAGGAGAAAGAGGAAGCUGAAACAGUGAACUUGAGGGUACAAAGCCAAGGUCCACCAUGAUGGCCACCAGUAUUCUGUCUGGCAUACUGGUAAAAACAUGUAAAAAGCUGACAUGAUGGUUUUGAAAUGGGUGGAAGGAGCUGUUACUAGUGGUGAGAAUGGCUGUUUGCUGAUCUUGUUAGUGACUCACCUGCCCAUUCUAAUCCAUAGAUAACGUAGAAGUGUCCAUUUUUGAGGAUAUAAUAUGUGCUAAGAGCUAUGCUGCACUCUCUACCUUUAAUCUCAUUUAAUUUUCACAACAUCCCAUGCCCUAGGAUCUCCAUAUAGUGUAGAUAACAUGCAUUACACCUCUUACAUGGAUGGGGGGGGUGUCAGAAAGGUUCCAAGAGUUCCCCCAAGGUCAUGGCAACGAGCAAGUAGCAGAGCUGGAGUUCAGCAUCAGGGUAUGCCAUCUAAAUUUUUCACCAUUGUGUAAUGCUGGGAAAACCAAAUUGUGGAGGAGGGCAACAGGGCAGAACAGCAGGGUGGGAUGUGAGAAUACCUGGAAGAUGGCAGGAGAGAUGCUGAAAAUAGCAUAUCAUAAUAAUGUGAUUCAAGCCCCAAAGGGGUGGGACCACCACGUCUGCAUUGGUGAAGAACAGAUGGAGAAGUGGCAGGUUAGACCCUAUGGGCCCCCGGCAAAUAUUAAUUGAUGAUGAUGCCUUCAGAAGAGCAAACAAAAAUUUGAAGAGACAAAAAAAAAGAGCACAUGUUAUGGGUGCUUGGGGAAAGACAGGGGCCGGCCAGGGGAGAGAGGCUGACGGAAUUGAUUUGGGUUAUGGCUGCCACAAAAGGACAUCAGAGGAAUACUCUUUCUUAAGCGUUCAAGUUUUUGCAGCGGAAACAUCCAUUCUGUCCUCUAAAAAGCUGCACUUGAGGAUGGAGGCAGGCUUUCCCACAUUCUCGUCAAUCUUAGAAAAAUUGAACUGCCUUAGAGACAAAAAUAUUGCCCCCACUCAUUUUGUUUAGGUCCUAAUGCUGUUCUCUUACCUAAUGAUAUUUACACGGGCCACUUGUCAAAUUGAAGCAGGAGGGAAAAAUAAAAUUUUAAGGGAGUUGGAGGAAACGUAAGUAGAUUCCUGGCUUCCAGCUCCUAAUACACAAAUAACGAAAUGCAUAUUCUAUGGUCUCCAAAGAGCAGAAAUAACCCCAAAGUCACAGACAGUGUGUGGUGGGACAAGAGAUGCUUCUAGCUAGUUCAAUUGCUGCACAAGUUCAUCAAUCAGGACAUUGGUAUCGAGUACCUACCAUGAACCAGUGCACUCUGGUUGGUUCCUAAACAGAAAUAGAACAGGUAUAAUAGACCUGAGUCUUUGGGCCACACCCCACACUUGAUUAGAACUGAUUUUCUACCAUCUGGCAUAGGUCUGGACCCCCGGAGAUGGUAGCUGGUGGGUCGUGUGGGGCAUCUUCCAAUGUCAAGUUGAGGUCUUCUGAUAGACAUGUUGUUGUGGUUUGCCCAGUGUCCAUCCCCUGCCUGCUGUUGACAGCCUUGUUAUUUUGGAGGAAAAGAUCACCCCAAAUUUCACAGUUUUAGAUGAGUCGCCUCUUUUUCUUUAGCUCCAAGGUAAGAAAACAAUCUUGGCAUGGUGCUUCACCAUAUUCCACUCCUCAGCAAUUGACCCAAACUAGUCCAGCGUGAAUGAAUCAGGUGGCUACCCAGAGGAAAACAGAUUUGCAGUCAUGAACUACUAGAUUGCGGACAAUGCUGAGUUCCUGGAUUCAUGCAUUCUUGAAGUGAGUACCACCCCGGGACUUUUUGUAGGAACCGAUAUAUGUCCUACAGGGCUUAAGCUAGUUUGAGUGGGUUCCGGUCACUUGCAUUGAAAGGAUCCCUGAUUGGUAGAACGCUUAUAUGACAUUCUCUGGCAAGACCAAUAAGCAAAGUCAAGGGUCAUGAAUAAAGCAGGUGGACAAAGAUACAAGUUGCAGCAACACUAAGAACCUAGUAGGUUGUUGCAGGUACUGCUAUAGUGACUAGAAUAUUAUCACCAUCGAAGCAGCAGCCUAAUUACUCUAGGUGACUCCCAAAUACCUUCAUGGAAUUCAUAUAUAUAUGAAUUCAUAUAUAUAUGAAUUCAUAUAUAUAUAUAUACCCACACACAUAUAUGUAGGUAUGUGUGUGUGUAUGUAUUUUAUUUUGGGAGUUUUGCAAGACAGCAAUCUCCAUUUCUUAAACAUGUGCUUUAGUCAGACAAAAUACUAUUUCUCAGUAGAGCACAGCCUUAAAGAAAAUCAAUGUAAAUGUUAUCCUGCUUCUCACCUCUUUUCCCCUAGAAAACUAAACACUCCGAAGCACAGGCACAGCAAACUCUAUUUCUAAAGGUUUUGUAAGUUAAGCAAUCCGAGGAAGUUACAUGAAAAAAAAAAAUCCCCUUUGAGAUAUGAAGGUGUUCAUAUCUGAACACAACUACAUUGAUAGCAGAAGGGAAUACAGUACAAUAUUUGAUGAAGAGAAGUAAUUAUCAUUUAUGAAUGAGGAAGCUCAGUGUUUUCCUAAAUUACUCAAAUUAAACCUCAAAUAAAUAUUUGAAGUUCUCCAUCUAAUUCGGCUACAAUGAAAAAUUGAAUCUCAUUACCUUUGGAUUUACAUCAGAUCUAAUUUCAAAGAUCAUAUUUAUUUCAGAAAGGAUGAAAAAGCAUUUUUCACCGGGAAGAAAAUGGUUUGAAGUUUCAAUAGAAAACAAUAUUCAAUUGCAUAGUAUAAAGGAGGUACCACUUGAACACUUCUCUCUCUUUUUUUUUUUCCCCAAAGAGAAUCUCUAAGAAAAAGUCAUGGAUAUUUCACUCAGUUCAGAUAUAAAAAUACACCCUGUCACUACCAGUUGUUUGAUUAAAUGUCUAUAAUAACAGUACCUAUUGAUACUGCAUGGCUUACUUUUCACUGAUCUAUAAUAAAAAUUAGAGGAUAGUGUUCCCUUUACAAAAUAAUUCCCCUCUCUGCCAAAAUACACAGAAUCUUAUUUAAUAAUGAGUUCCCCAGUGUAUUCCACCUAUAAUUUCAUUCUAUUUUCACAUUUUCUAGAUACAACAAUUGCCUCAAGCAAAGGAAACUUGUCAGUUUACAUGCACAUGCAGUCAAAACGCAGAUCCGUAUAGGUAAGUCUGGACAGCUCUUGAAGAGCUUAUGCGAUGUAUUUAUCUAAAGAAUAGCCUAUCGGUUGCGACUGUCGCCAUGGCCCAUCUCCUCCUACGGCCCCACCACCACGUGGAGACGUGCCCUUCGAUUUCAAGGAGGGAAAACAAAGGAACAAAUUAAAUGGGACACCUCAACAAAGAUAUCAAAGACACGUUAUUUUUCUUUGCUAUAAGAUGUAGAGAGAAGAUUCACGAUUAUUGAACUACAUUUCCAAAGUGAGCGAUAGUCCUUUCGCUUAAUGAAUACUUCCUGAGUACCAGCUCUAAGCUGGACACAAUCACAGUCUUUUGCAAGGAUAUUCUACCUGAAGGGAGACAGAAGAAGGGAAGGGGGAGACGGAGAAGAAGAAGAAAAAUGCAAGAAAAAAAUAUAUGUAGAGUGCAUAUCAUUCCAUAUCCCAUUCUCAGAGCUUUGUAAUGGAGGCGUUGAUCUCUUAGGGGCUCUGAGAAAUCUUGCAGUAAAAGAAUCAUAUUUAAUCCAGCAGUUUCCAAAUAUAUUUAAUUAUGUCCCUCUAUUUUUUUGUUUGUUUAAAUAAAACUCAUCCAUAUCCACAGGGACAAAGAUUUUCCGAAGUAUCAGUCAUCUAAAAGUCACAUUAUCCUCUCCAUAGUCAAAAAGAGUCUGCCUGAUUUAGUACCAAAUCUUUCCAUGCAUCUUU
rnacentral:lncRNA from 1 species